CCUACGGGGCGCUGCAGUAGGGAAUCUUCCACAAUGGGCGAAAGCCUGAUGGAGCAACGCCGCGUGGGUGACGAAGGUCUUCGGAUCGUAAAACUCUGUUGUUAGAGAAGUAAGUGCGUGAGAGUAACUGUUCACGUUUCGACGGUAUCUAACCAGAAAGCCACGGCUAACUACGUGCCAGCAGCCGCGGUAAUACGUAGGUGGCAAGCGUUAUCCGGAUUUAUUGGGCGUAAAGGGAACGCAGGCGGUCUUUUAAGUCUGAUGUGAAAGCCUUCGGCUUAACCGGAGUAGUGCAUUGGAUACUGGGAAACUUGAGUGCAGAAGAGGAGAGUGGAACUCCAUGUGUAGCGGUGAAAUGCGUAGAUAGAUGGAAGAACACCAGUGGCGAAAGCGGCUCUCUGGUCUGUAACUGACGCUGAGGUUCGAAAGCGUGGGUAGCAAACAGGAUUAGAUACCCGUGUAGUC
rnacentral:rRNA from 1 species